GGGGGUUUAGUAUAAUGGCAAUGCAGCAGUCUCCAAAACUGAGAAUAAGGGUUCGAUUCCUUUAACCCCCGCCA
rnacentral:tRNA from 1 species